rnacentral:rRNA from 1 species
AGGAUAAACGCUGGCGGCGUGCCUAACACAUGCAAGUCGAACGCGCUUUCGGGCUUCGGUGCGAGAGCGAGUGGCGGACGGGUGAGUAACACAUGGGUACCUACCUUGGAGUGAGGGAUACCGGCGAGAAAUCGCCGACAAUACCGCAUAGGCUUCUUCACAAGGGAAGCAAAGUGACGCGAGUCACGCUUUGAGAUGGGCCUGUGGCCGAUUAGCUAGUUGGGGGGGUAACGGCUUCCCAAGGCGACGAUCGGUAGCUGGUCUGAGAGGACGAUCAGCCACACUGGGAUUGAGAACGGCCCAGACUCCUACGGGGGGCAGCAGUGAGGAAUUUUCCGCAAUGGAGGCAACUCUGACGGAGCAACGCCGCGUGCAGGAGGAAGGUUUUCGGAUCGUAAACUGCUUUUCUCGGGGACGAGCAAGGACGGUACCCGAGGAAGAAGCCCCGGCUAACUACGCGCCAGCACCGC